rnacentral:rRNA from 1 species
CUACCCUAAAAGUGAGGGGGCAUAGGUUUUAGAGACCCUUAUUCUUUUAAUCUUGCAAUGCUCUCGAAGCAGGUCUGAGGAUUAAUUACAAACCCAGGGUCCCUCUGUUCUAGUGUUUUAAAAGUUAAAUACUAUCCUAAUGGCAGCAUGUUGCAAAGUACCUUGGAGAAUGGAUCCUCAUUUACUUGGAAGAGCACCAUGGAAGGCCUUGAGACCUUCAAGAGAGGAUAUAUUUGGAGGAUUCGGGCAGGUGAGAACGUUAACAUAUGGAACGAUAUGUGGAUUCUAUCCAGCCCUGACAGGAAGAUCAUCUCGGCUAGGAGUCAAGCUAUCCUGUCAAACAUUAGCGAUCUUAUUGUUCCCAACUCAAGAACUUGGGAUGAGGAAUUAAUCCGAAAUAUUUUCAAUCUAGUUGACGUCAGGAGAUUCUUGCAAAUUCUGUUAAAUCAUUAA